AAGAAAUUAGUUAAUUUAUAACAUUAAUAUGUCAUAUUAAAAUUAUUAUUAAAUAAUAUUUCUUU
rnacentral:tRNA from 1 species